AUAUAUAUGUCUCUUUCAUUCAUUAUUAUUGCUACUGUAUUUUCUACUGACCCGUACUGUUGUUUAGCUCUUCCUGAUCUGGUGAGUACUCCUCGCCUUCAUCGGCUUGCGGUACCCACUGGGAGGGGAGACAUGUUUACAUGUUCUCACCUCCCCCACCAUUUUUUUCAGGUAUCGCGGGCGGUGAGAGUUGAGACGAGACGUGAGACACAUACGUAGCGGUCGAUAGAGCUUCCGACCCAGGUUAUUCGAUUUAGUUCCUACCCUUACUGUUCUGUUGAUAUAGCUUAGAUAGUUUAUAUGGUUCAGUACUUUUAUUACAUUUGAAAAUGUGGGUUUUUAUGAAAGUAAUAAAUGAAUUUGUGGAUUUUGUGAAAUGGAAAGGUUUUCUACCCCUCGUGGUAGUGUGUUUUAAAAGCAAAGAGUUUCCUUAUGAAAAACGGAUUUCAAACAGCUUUCUCGUGGUUUUCAUAACUUAGUAUUUCAAAACCCGUUUCUGAGUUGGAAACGUUUUAACUAAUAGUCGUGGAAUUAUGAAUGGUAAAUCUGUGAUGAAUGGUGAAUGAAUAUUGAUUGUUGUUUAUUCAUUAUGGUGGUUGUAUCCUGGUUAUACUCUUGUACUUGUCCGACGCCGUG
rnacentral:lncRNA from 1 species